AUGAACGCUAGCUACAGGCUUAACACAUGCAAGUCGCAGGGUAACAUGAGGAAAGCUUGCCUUCCUUGAUGACGACUGGCGCACGGGUGAGUAACGCGUAUCCAACCUUCCCAUAACUACGGGAUAACCCGUUGAAAGACGGCCUAAUACCGUAUGACAUCGUUUGCUGACAUCAAAUAACGAUUAAAGGUUUAGCGGUUAUGGAUGGGGAUGCGUCUGAUUAGCUUGUUGGCGGGGUAACGGCCCACCAAGGCGACGAUCAGUAGGGGUUCUGAGAGGAAGGUACCCCACAUUGGAACUGAGACACGGUCCAUACUCCUACGGGAGGCAGCAGUGAGGAAUAUUGGUCAAUGGGCGAGAGCCUGAACCAGCCAAGUAGCGUGCAGGAUGACGGCCCUAUGGGUUGUAAACUGCUUUUAUGUGGGGAUAAAGUGCGUGACGUGUCAUGCAUUGCAGGUACCACAUGAAUAAGGACCGGCUAAUUCCGUG
rnacentral:rRNA from 1 species